UCAAAGAAAAGGUAAGUAUUUGUGUAUGUAUUUUUAAGUGUCUUGGCCAGUAUCGAAAUGUCUGAACCCAGGUUGUCAGAUGUGUCAGAGGACGUUCAAAGUCGGGGCAACCAGUGGGGUACAAGUUAAUUGAACGGCCCUCAUGGGGGUAGCGCUACAUAAGCACAUGGACUCUUCUACUAUGAAGCCAUACUGUCUUGAUAAAUGCAGUAUGUGGUUUAACAUUGUCCUUCUGAAAUAUGCAAGGCCUUGCCUGAAUGAGACGUUGUCUGGAUGGGAGCAUGUGUUGCUCUAAAACAUGGAUAAAGUAUGUCUUUCAGCAUCAGUGAUGCCUUUCCAGAUGUGUAAGCUGGAAUUCCAUACACACCAAUGCACCCCAUACCAUCAAACAAGCUUUCAAACUGAGCGCUGAUAACAAGCAGAAAUUCCCUCAUCUCCUUAGUCCGGAGGAUGCAACGUUCAUGGUUGCCAAAGAGAAUGUCAAAUUUAAAUUCGUCUGACAACAAAACAAAUUUCCACUUUGCAACAGACCUAUUUAAAUAAGGGUUUGUCCAGAGAAGACGGCAGCGUUUCUGGAACAUGUUCAGAUAUGACUUCUUCUUUGCAUGAUAGAGCUUUAGCUUGUAUUUCUGGAUGGCAUGGCAAACUUUGUUGACAAACUAUUAUUUUUGGAAGUAUUCCUGAGCCCAAAUUCCCAAAAGAGGACCUUCAUUCAAUCAAUUCAGCGCUUCUUUCUUCUUGGGCAUUCUGUAUCAGCAACAUGCAGCAUUCAUAAGACACCUGAGGAAGCCUAUAAUGUGAAAGAUGUUGAGCGAAAGCUGCUGAACUGCCGUUCAAAAUCGCAUCUUGUGUGAUGGUUUUUAUAAUCAUUUUGAAUUUGAUAUGAAAUAAAAUAUUUUAAUGAAUUGUA